rnacentral:rRNA from 2 species
UGGGGAAUAUUGCGCAAUGGGGGAAACCCUGACGCAGCAACGCCGCGUGAAGGAUGAAGGCUUUCGGGUUGUAAACUUCUUUGAUCGGGGACGAAGAUGACGGUACCCGGGGAACAAGCCACGGCUAACUACGUGCCAGCAGCCGCGGUAAUACGUAGGUGGCGAGCGUUGUCCGGAAUUACUGGGUGUAAAGGGCGUGUAGGCGGGAAAGCAAGUCAGAUGUGAAAUACCGGGGCUUAACUCCGGGGCUGCAUCUGAAACUGUUUUUCUUGAGUGUCGGAGAGGAAAGCGGAAUUCCUAGUGUAGCGGUGAAAUGCGUAGAUAUUAGGAGGAACACCAGUGGCGAAGGCGGCUUUCUGGACAGUAACUGACGCUGAGGCGCGAAAGCGUGGGGAGCGAACAGG